rnacentral:rRNA from 1 species
AACUAACGCUGGCGGCGUGCCUAACACAUGCAAGUCGAACGAGAAAGUUGGCUUCGGCCGAUGAGUAAAGUGGCGCACGGGUGAGUAACGCGUGGAUAAUCUGCCCUUUAGUUUGGAAUAACGUACCGAAAGGUGCGCUAAUACCGGAUAAUACUGAAUGACUACUGUCGUUUAGUCAAAGAAGGCUUCUGUUUACAUGCUUUUGCUGAAGGAUGAGUCCGCGUACCAUUAGCUAGUUGGUAGGGUAAUGGCCUACCAAGGCGACGAUGGUUAGCUGGUCUGAGAGGAUGAUCAGCCACACUGGAACUGAGACACGGUCCAGACUCCUACGGGAGGCAGCAGUGAGGAAUAUUGCGCAAUGGGGCAACCCUGACGCAGCAACGCCGCGUGAGUGAGGAAGGUUUUCGGACCGUAAAGCUCUGUCGAGCGGGAAGAAAUGCAUGGUGGCUAAUAUCCAUCAUGCUUGACGGUACCGCUAAAGGAAGCACC